rnacentral:rRNA from 1 species
CGCACCUGACCCCAUGCCGAACUCAGAAGUGAAACGCCGUAGCGCCGAUGGUAGUGUGGGGUCUCCCCAUGCGAGAGUAGGGAACUGCCAGGC